rnacentral:miRNA from 1 species
AGCCAAGUGGAAGUUACUUUA